GUCUUCAGAAUCCAUUGGCAAUACAAAGGCCAAGACUGGCAAUGGACCAGGAUGCAAUGGGUGAUCUUAGCAUUGGAUUUUAAAGGAAGGCUGAUGGCAUUAGCCAGAGAAACCCAACGGAGUAGAAGGUAAAGACAACAAAGGAAGAAUAGUAGGACAGUGAUCUCACACACUCGUGCUAUGACCUAUAUCCCCAAGGAAAAGAACAAGUAAUACAUAUCAUUCUGAAUAAGGACAACUCCAGGAUCAGGUACUCAGGUGUUUUCUCCAGAGAGAGAAGGAACAAGGGGGUGGUGAACCAACAUCCUGAGUUUCACAGCUGCUGGGCUUAGUACAAUCUACAGUUUGCUUUGGUAGACAAUGUGAGGAAUCUGGACACUUCAUUAAGAGAAUGAGGAAAGAGGGAAAAAGAAUCACUACUAAAGAAA